UACCUGAUUCAGCGGCGGACGGGUGAGUAAUGCCUAGGAAUCUGCCCGAUAGUGGGGGACAACGUUUCGAAAGGAACGCUAAUACCGCAUACGUCCUACGGGAGAAAGUGGGGGAUCUUCGGACCUCACGCUAUCGGAUGAGCCUAGGUCGGAUUAGCUAGUUGGUGAGGUAAUGGCUCACCAAGGCGACGAUCCGUAACUGGUCUGAGAGGAUGAUCAGUCACACUGGAACUGAGACACGGUCCAGACUCCUACGGGAGGCAGCAGUGGGGAAUAUUGGACAAUGGGCGAAAGCCUGAUCCAGCCAUGCCGCGUGUGUGAAGAAGGUCUUCGGAUUGUAAAGCACUUUAAGUUGGGAGGAAGGGCAGUAAGCUAAUACCUUGCUGUUUUGACGUUACCAACAGAAUAAGCACCGGCUAACUUCGUGCCAGCAGCCGCGGUAAUACGAAGGGUGCAAGCGUUAAUCGGAAUUACUGGGCGUAAAGCGCGCGUAGGUGGUUCAGCAAGUUGGAUGUGAAAUCCCCGGGCUCAACCCGGGAACUGCAUCCAAAACUACUGAGCUAGAGUACGGUAGAGGGUGGUGGAAUUUCCUGUGUAGCG
rnacentral:rRNA from 1 species